GAUGAACGCUGGCGGCGUGCCUAAUACAUGCAAGUCGAGCGAACAGACGAGGAGCUUGCUCCUCUGACGUUAGCGGCGGACGGGUGAGUAAAACGUGGAUAACAUACCUCUCAGACUGGGAUAAUAUCGGGGAACCGGAUCUAAUACCGGAUAAUAUAUUGAACCGGAUGGUUCAAUAGUUAAAGUAGGUUUUGGUGACAGUUAAAGAUGGAUAAGCGCCGCAUUAGCUAGUUGGUAAGGUAAAGGCUUACCAAGGCGACGAUGCGUAGCCGACCUGAGAGGGUGAACGGCCACACUGGAACUGAGACACGGUCCAGACUCCUACGGGAGGCAGCAGUAGGGAAUCUUCCGCAAUGGGCGAAAGCCUGACGUAGCAACACCGCGUGAGUGAUGAAGGUCUUCGGAUCGUAAAGCUCUGUUAUUAGGGAAGAACAAAUGUGUAAUUACCUAGGCACGUCUUGACGGUACCUAAACAGAAAGCUACGGCUAACUACGUG
rnacentral:rRNA from 1 species